rnacentral:lncRNA from 1 species
UCUGACCCCCAGUUCCUUACUCAGUGGCUGUUUUCAGGGCCUGUCCCUCCUGCAGUGUCCAGAAGGGGCCACCGGCAGGUCAGCCUUGACUUCCAGCUCAGCGUGACCGGUGACCGGUGACCGUCGGCGGACCUCUGACCCCAGCAGAGCUCAGCGUUUCCGAGGACGAGGACGCACCCUUCUGUGAGUGCCGUCGGGCAGGACAGCGAGUCGGGCCCUCUC